rnacentral:lncRNA from 1 species
CUUUGGUUCCCGGAAUGUAGCUGAGGAGUGAGGUCAGAAAGUACCUUUAAGUGAGUGGACCAGGAGGAUUCUCUUCAUUACUCUGACACACUCAAAACGCUUUCAUAACUUUUACAGGUCCUGAGCUGGUGUGCAAAUGUUCCAUAUGUGAGCUGUCAGUCAGGGGCGCUGAUUGUUCAUUUGCUUUAAAACAACAAAAACAAAAACAACAACAAAACAGUUCUGGGAAUGAAACCCAGUGCAUUGAGCAUGUAGGCAAGUGCUUUACCCAUAAGCCCCAGCUCCAGCUCCAGCAGCGAAUGAAGCAGCUGCAUUUUCAGCUAGAAAACAUAGGGAUUUGACCUACAUUUCAACAAGACCUCUGAACCAGAUGUGAUGAUGCUUGCUUAGUAUGUUUAGCAUCUCAGUGCUCUGGAGGCAGAGACAGGAGGAGGGCCAUAAGUUGAAGGCCAGCCUGACCUUCACAGUGGUCUCCAAGUCACCUAAAACUAUAUAGUAAGACCUUGCCUCAAAUGAAAAACAAAAUGGCGAGUGGUGGUGCAUGCCUUUAAUACCAGCACUUGGGAGUAGAAGCAGGUGCAUCUCCGUGAGGUCAAAGCCAGCCAGUUCCCGGACAGCCAAGGCUAUACAGAG